UACAGAGGGUGCGAGCGUUAAUCGGAAUUACUGGGCGUAAAGGGCGCGUAGGCGGCCAACUAAGUCACACGUGAAAUCCCCAGGCUUAACCUGGGAACUGCGUGUGAUACUGGAUGGCUUGAAUUCGGGAGAGGGAUGCAGAAUUCCAGGUGUAGCGGUGAAAUGCGUAGAUAUCUGGAGGAAUACCGGUGGCGAAGGCGGCAUCCUGGACCGACAUUGACGCUGAGGCGCGAAAGCUAGGGGAGCAAACGGG
rnacentral:rRNA from 1 species